rnacentral:rRNA from 1 species
AGUGAACGCUGGCGGUAGGCCUAACACAUGCAAGUCGAACGGCAGCACAGUAAGAGCUUGCUCUUACGGGUGGCGAGUGGCGGACGGGUGAGGAAUACAUCGGAAUCUACUUUUUCGUGGGGGAUAACGUAGGGAAACUUACGCUAAUACCGCAUACGACCUACGGGUGAAAGCAGGGGAUCUUCGGACCUUGCGCGAUUGAAUGAGCCGAUGUCGGAUUAGCUGGUUGGCGGGGUAAAGGCCCACCAAGGCGACGAUCCGUAGCUGGUCUGAGAGGAUGAUCAGCCACACUGGAACUAAGACACGGUCCAGACUCCUACGGGAGGCAGCAGUGGGGAAUAUUGGACAAUGGGCGCAAGCCUGAUCCAGCCAUACCGCGUGGGUGAAGAAGGCCUUCGGGUUGUAAAGCCCUUUUGUUGGGAAAGAAAAGCAGCAGGUUAAUACCCCGCUGUUCUGACGGUACCCAAAGAAUAAGCACCGGCUAACUUCGUG